rnacentral:tRNA from 1 species
GAUUAGAUGGCCGAGCUGUAGGCGAUAGAUUGUAAAUCUAUUAACGAGGUCACCUCUCUAAUCA